AAGCACGAAGCAACAGGGUAGUGGAAAACUAAUGCUCACGAUUCGGAGUAUCUGGAAGACUGUGGAGAGAAGUUCCUGCUCUCAACUGGAUAGUGUCACCGUGAAGUAAAAACGUAAACAAACGGAACGCGCCGCGAAUAAAAAAAAAAACACCCACAGCGAUCUCAGCACACAGUCCAAAACACACGCGCGUAGUCGGUGCGCGUCUUCGUCUAGUGUCGGCUGCUGAUUGCGUACUGAAGAGGCAGCACAGCACGCGCAAAUGUUGCGCCACCCAAAACCCAGCAACGGGUGGUGGUGAGUUUUUCUUUUGCUUUCCGUCUACACGGCCGUAGUGUCCGUGUUGGUUUUCGUUUUCCCUUUUCGUUUCCACCAAAUAUCUAUCACACCGCGCUACCGCGUUGGGGCGCGAUUCGUAUACGCAUACGUGGAGCGAGGUAGAGACACCUGUACAAUGCGGACCCCAUCGGGCGGCGUUGAAGAGGGUUUUCCGCGUGCAAUUUUUUUUUAAAGUCCGUAUGCGUGUGUGAGUGAGUGGCACGGCUCGCUGGCAAUGGUGUGCCGGAGCGAGAGAGAGAAAGAGAGCGAUGAAUAGGACGCAUAUACGCGCGAUCACCACCCCAACGAAUCGGUGUCGUUUGAUAAGACUCGCGUCGCCUCACCACCCAUCCCGUCACUUCCAACCUGUCCCCUCUUUUCUAGUCGGGGGUUCGUUUUUAAUCCUUCCGCAUGUGGUUGGUCGUGGUGCGAUGCUUUUUCGUACUCGCCGCUACUGCUAGUGCCACAGACAUUUUCUCGAUCUUCUCGGCAACAUUCGGCGGGGCGUGAAAAUUUGCUCGAGAAGGAGAAAACCCGCCGAAUCGAUUCGAAAAGGAUGAUGUCAUCAACGUUGAUGAUACUACACCGACGCGGUCUGUUUUGAGGUACAUUUCCAAUUUAGUAUCUUCCGUACUUCUGAUUCACGAGUGCAAAACGGUGUGACAGGAAUGUGAAAAACUCUUAUUAAAAUAUUUGCAGACAUUCUUAAGAGAAACAUUUAAGCUCGGAAGAUCGUCUACCGGCGAAUGCCAUUUGUACCGGAUGUAGGAUCUCGUUAAAUGGUCACAAAACUAAAACAUGCAAUAAACUA